CCUACGGGUGGCAGCAGUGGGGAAUAUUGCACAAUGGGGGAAACCCUGAUGCAGCGACGCCGCGUGAGUGAAGAAGUAUUUCGGUAUGUAAAGCUCUAUCAGCAGGGAAGAAGAAAGACGGUACCUGACUAAGAAGCCCCUGCUAACUACGUGCCAGCAGCCGCGGUCAUACGUAGGGGGCAAGCGUUAUCCGGAUUUACUGGGUGUAAAGGGAGCGUAGACGGCUGGGUAAGUCUGAAGUGAAAGCCAAGGGCUCAACCCUGGGACUGCUUUGGAAACUGUGGAGCUAGAGUGCUGGAGAGGUAAGUGGAAUUCCUAGUGUAGCGGUGAAAUGCGUAGAUAUUAGGAGGAACACCAGUGGCGAAGGCGGCUUACUGGACAGUAACUGACGUUGAGGCUCGAAAGCGUGGGGAGCAAACAGGAUUAGGUACCCCUGUAGUC
rnacentral:rRNA from 1 species